AUACUUUACCAACAUAGGCACUUUCCUGUGCCUGUAAUUGAAAUAAGCAAGCGUAAAGGCAGUAUUAUUUUUGUCCUGUAGCGAUUGAUGGUGGAUACAGUGAGUGGUCUGAGUCUGAGUGCAGUGUGACAUGUGGAGAAGGGGAAAAAAUGCUGACAAGAACCUGCACCAAUCCUCCGCCAUCCUAUGGUGGAAAGGACUGCAAUGGGUGAGGGCCAGCUGAAAAGACUGUUCCGUGUAACGAAGGAGAUUGCCCGAUUGAUGGUGGAUACACAGAUUGGUCUGAGUCUAAGUGCAGUGCUACAUGUGGAGGAGGGAAAAAUACACUAAGAAGAACCUGCACCAAUCCCCCGCCAUCUAACAGUGGAAAGGAUGCAGUGAGCUGGGGCCAGCUGAAAGGAGAGUUUCAUGCAAUGAAGUAGAGUGCCCGAUUGAUGGUGGUUACACUGAGUGGACUGAGUCUGAGUGCAGUGUUCCAUGUGGAGGAGGAACACAACUACUUACAAGAACCUGCACCAAUCCUCCGCCAGCUUACGGUGGAAAAGACUGCAGUGAGCUGGGCCCAGAUAAAAAGAAAGUUUCAU